UACGGGGGGAGCAAGCGUUGUUCGGAUUUACUGGGCGUAAAGGGCGCGUAGGCGGCCAGCACAAGUCAGUUGUGAAAUCUCCGGGCUUAACUCGGAAAGGUCAACUGAUACUGUGCGGCUAGAGUGCGGAAGGGGCAACUGGAAUUCCCAGUGUAGCGGUGAAAUGCGUAGAUAUUGGGAAGAACACCUGAGGCGAAGGCGGGUUGCUGGGCCGACACUGACGCUGAUGCGCGAAAGCCAGGGGAGCGAACGGG
rnacentral:rRNA from 1 species